AAGUAAGAAGCAAUAUUUGCAUUCAGUUUCGACCUGACCAUUUGAUGAUUAUCAUCCUUAUUUG
rnacentral:tRNA from 1 species